ACCCUGGAUAGCUCAGUUGGUUAGAGCAUGCUGCUGCUGCUACCAAGAUUGAAGGUUUGAUCCCUCUAUGGGGCA